CCUUGAAAAACGAAAAUUAUAAGUAAUAUUUUCAAGUUUGGUCACGAGUCGGUUGGGGAGGGCAGAGAUCUGAAUCGGAUUACAGGGAGCUACUUCUUCACAGUUUUAAUUUCACGAUUUUAAUUUUAAUUUUAAUUUGAUACGAAUUGAGACGAACUUUUAUAUACAUAUAUAUUUCAAGAUACAAUAUAAACCAAGUUGAACUAAACCGUUGAUUUUCACACCUCGUUUCCAAACUUCAGUUACUCUAAUGAAAGAAGAAAGACAUCGUCAGACGUUCAGCAUGUUCCAUCAGGGAUAAAGCUUGAAGCAAGGAAAAAGAAUUAUAUAUGCUAGUUGAUUAAUGUUCAAAUAUGCUCAAAAUUUACAUUCAGAGUUCAAAUUUGAACAAAACCAGCUGUUAUUAACACUUGCUAUUAAGUAGGAGAGGGAAGACAACAGUCCCCUUAGCUUUACUUGCCAUGCAGCAUUUCCAAGCAAAACACAAGUACAAGGAAAGGAAAAGAAGGCAUCAAACACUCCACUCUUACAACUAUGCAGACUACCAUAUCUUAUUCCUCUUUUCCUAUAACCCCAUGUAUCAUUUACUCAAUCAUCUCUUCGUCAUCGUCGACGAUUUCUUCGAUCUUCAUCUUCUUCACUGCCUGUGCUGCAUCAUUCCUUGGGACACUGGGUAUCUGAAUUAACACUUCACCCUUCUGUCCUGUGGCUGCAUUAACGAGUCCACCGUUCUUCUCCACUGUAUAAACCAAGUCAUUCCCCUUUGGCCCUGCAUCUAUGUAGACGGUUGAAUUUUCAUCAAUUUCCUCUCUUAUGAGCAUUCUUGAUAGCUCUGUAACCACCUUCUUUUCAAGCCAUCUUCUAAUUGGCCGAGCACCAUAAACCUGCAACAGGAGGAGAUGCUGUUACUAUCUUCUCCAAGCAAAUAACGUGGAAAGCAUACAACUUCAGAUAAUGCCAAUAUUUACUUACAGGAUCAUAACUCUCGGCUAAUAUGUAAUCCAAUGCAGUAUCAGUCACUGCCAACGCGAUACCCCUCUCAGCAAGACGAACAGCUACAUCCUUCAUUUGUAACCUAGCAACUUUCCUCAAUUGGUCAUGAGAAAGUGGAUCAAACAUCACAAUCUCAUCAAGCCGAUUUAGUAACUCAGGCCUAAAUUGCUUCCUCACCUCUUGCAUAACACGAUCUCGAGCAACUUGCAUUGAACAUUUGCCCAUUAAUCCUGACAGCAGGUGCUCUGCUCCAAUGUUGGAAGUCAUUAUAAUAACUGCAUUCCUAAAGUCCACAGUACGGCCUUGGCCAUCAGUCAGCCGUCCAUCAUCCAGAACUUGUAGGAGAGUAUUAAACACAGAAAGGUGUGCUUUCUCCACUUCAUCAAACAGGACAACAGUGUAAGGCCUUCGUCUCACAGCCUCUGUAAGCUGCCCACCUUCCUCAUGUCCCACAUACCCUGGAGGAGCACCAAUUAGUCGAGCAACAGAGUGUUGCUCCAUAUACUCGGACAUGUCAAUUCUCACCAUCUGAUUCUCAUCAUCAAAAAGCUGCUCAGCCAGGGCCUUUGCAAGCUCAGUUUUACCAACACCAGUUGGACCCAAGAAAAGGAAUGAACCAGUUGGUUGCUGUGGCCUUCCUAAGCCAGCCCUUGACCUAAGCACAGCCUCUGCAACAGCAUUAACUGCUUGGUCUUGGCCCACCACUCUCUGAUGCAACCUCUCUGCAAGCCCAAUUAGCCUUUCUUUCUCAUUUUGGCCAAGCCUCGUAACAGGAAUGCCAGUCCAUCGGCUCACAACUUCAGCAAUAUGUUCUGGUUUAACUGUUUCUGUCAACAUCAAGUUCUCAUCUGUGCUUCCUUCAAGCCUAGCAAUGGCAGCAUCAACUUCCUCCAAUGCUCCAUAACGCAAAUCCGCGACUCUAGCUAAAUCAUAUCUUCUUUCUGCCUCUUGUAUUGCGAACUGUAUCUCCUCUUUCUUCUGCUUGAGACGCCUGAUUUCAUCAAUCCUCUCCUUUUCUCUUUUGUAUUUCAUCAUCAGAGGCUGAAGCUUGUCUCUCAAGUCAUCAAGUUCUUUCACCACCUCAGCAAGCCGAGCUUUGCUGGCUUUGUCCUUCUCCUUCUCAAGCGCAUGGAGUUCCACUUCUAGCUGGAUUUUCUUCCUCUCCAGAUUAUCAAUUUCUUCUGGCUGACUAUCAAGUUGGACUCUUACAUUUGCACAGGCUUCAUCAACUAAAUCAAUUGCCUUAUCAGGCAGAUGACGACCAGUAAUAUAUCGACUUGACAACUGUGCUGCAACUACAAGAGCUCGAUCUAGAAUUCGAACACCAUGAUGACCCUCAUACUUCUCUUUCAAACCUCGAAGAAUGUUAAUUGUGUCCGUAACACUAGGUUCUGCAACAUAAACUUGCUGGAACCUUCUCUCAAAUGCAGCAUCUUUCUCUACAUACUUUCUGUACUCUUCUAGUGUUGUUGCACCAAUGCACCUAAGCUGACCUCUAGCAAGCAUGGGCUUGAAAAGAUUAGCAGCAUCCAUUGACCCCUCUGUUCGACCAGCUCCAAGAACAAGAUGUAUCUCAUCGAUAAAUAGUAUCACUUUCCCUUCAGCCUCUUCCACUUCCUUCAAGACGGCCUUCAACCGCUCCUCAAAUUCUCCUCUAUAUUUUGCCCCAGCAACUAAGGCACCCAUAUCCAGUGCAAUAAGCCUCACAUCAGUAAGGUUAUUUGGCACGUCUCCUCUCACAAUCCUUUGAGCCAAGCCUUCUACCACAGCAGUUUUACCAACUCCAGGCUCACCAAUAAGAACUGGGUUGUUUUUGGUUCUCCGUGAUAAAAUCCUUAUAACUCUCCUGAUCUCUUCAUCUCUUCCAAUGACAGGGUCAAGCUUUCCAGCUUGUUCCACAAGAUCUCUCCCAUAAGUCUUCAAGGCUUGAAAUGUACUAUCUCCAGAGGCGCUCUCUACCUUUUUCCCUUCCUUGCCUCGAAGUUUCUGAACCUCAGAUUUUACUUUUGCAGCAGCUAUUCCCGCUUCUUUCAACAAGUCCCCUAUUUGGGAAUCCUCAAGAAGACCUAAGAUGAUCUGAUCAACAGCUAAAUGGGUGUCACCUUGUGUUUUUUGUAAUGCUUGGGCACGCCUUAUCACUUUAAUAAGACUAGUACUCGGUGGAACUUCAUCAGGAGGUGGAGAUUGAGAUGGGAGCUUUUUCAUGGCGUUAUUGAACACUCUUUGUGCUGCCUGGGAAGCAGAUUCACCCCCAGCAUUGGAGAUUGCCAGGCUAAAGAUUCCACUAGAUUCUGAAAUCAGAGCAACAGCAAGAUGAAGAGGGGUUAUCUGGGCAUGACCAGCACUGAUUGCCAGCUCAUGAGCCGAAGCAAGAGCCUCAUUCGUCUUGUGGGUAAAUUUUCCCGGAUCCAUUCCUUGGAGUUUCCACUACCUAAUAAAAUCUCAGCAACUAGAAACGAAACGAAACUGACAGCUGGAAGAAAUACUUCGAUUACAAACCGAGAGCGUUAGUAAUAUAGAUGAUAUACAGAAGUGCCUGAAAUAAAGAUCUGAUUUCGUCUCUUGGAUUUGAUUGCAGAGUGAAGGAAGAAAAAGGAGGAAGCGGGCUCUAUAUACGAGAGAAAUGAAGACAUCUGGAAGGAACUAGACACGGGCGCUAGAUGCUACUAGAUCCUUGUGGUUUGGUGCAAGCGGAACCUCCUCGAUUUG
rnacentral:misc_RNA from 1 species